UUCGAUACUUUCUUUUACAUUUUGAAAUAUAUUGUCUAUGUUUCCCAAAAAGUCAUUCUUUUUGUCGAUCUAUUUCAGAUCUCCCACUUCCUUGGGAGUUUGCUUUGGCCUGUCUGCUUGUGGAGGGGAUAUUUGAUGCAUCAGUCUUGAGAAUUUUCUUUGGUGCCAUAAUAUUCAAAUAACUAUUACAUAUUAUAUACCUUCGGAGCUUGAGGAGCUUGAGAGGUCUUCAUUAUCCCCUGAUCAUUGGAGCUUGGACCCUCUUCCAUCUUCUUGCUGUCUGCCAUUUUCUUGAACUUGGGGAAAAAUUGCAGGGAGAAUUUGAGAGAAGGGAGAGAAUGAGAGAAAGAAUAUGAGAAUUGGAAAAUCUGAAGGUUGGAUAUUGAAGGCAAAAUUUUUUUCUUUUUCCUUUGAUUAAGCUUUGAUAUAGUUUUCUUUAUAAACCUUUUCAUAUUUAUAGUCUUAUUAGUUUGUUAGAACUCUUCAUACACUGCAUAUAUACUAGAUUAUAUGAAGAAUAAUAAGCUAGCUAUAUGUUGAUUCUCUAUCUUAA